rnacentral:rRNA from 1 species
UUUCAACCUUCGUAUCUUUUACCUAACCCUGUUCCUCGGUCUGUCUCCUACCAGUCACCCAAACGAGGAAAACUAGUAGUUAAUAGUUUUGAACUGUAAAAGUACUACUUAUAAGACUUCUAUUUGUUAGACGUACAUAAUUUCUCCUCCCCGAGCCGCCUUGUUUACCGGUUCCUCUUUUUUCAUCGAUAGCGGUGUUCGUAGUUCUAUACACCCGAAGUACGUAGUAAAUGAUAGGACGUCUUAUGUAGCGAAAAUAAUACAACUAUGCAGACUAAGCCACCUGAUCGUAUCGUUUACAUUUACACUUACACUUCCACCUAAGGUAGUUUAACAGACACGUCCAAUCACAACAGGGACUACGAAAUAUGUCUGUUGCACAAGUUUAUAGAAAGUAACCUGUCUGGAGACUGCACUAGUAUAACGAUAAAAGUAGAAAACCUAAACGUAUAUUACAACUGUGGUGUACACUUAGACUUCGGUGAACACGAUUCGUAAGGGACCAAACGGUCGAACACACAAAGUGAUUACCUCUUCCAUACUUAGACAAAGAAAUU